rnacentral:rRNA from 1 species
UACAGAGGGGGCAAGCGUUGUUCGGAAUUACUGGGCGUAAAGGGCGCGUAGGCGGCCUUCUAAGUCGAACGUGAAAUCCCCGGGCUCAACCCGGGAACUGCGUCCGAGACUGAAAGGCUUGAAUCCGGGAGAGGGAUGUGGAAUUCCAGGUGUAGCGGUGAAAUGCGUAGAUAUCUGGAGGAACAUCGGUGGCGAAGGCGGCAUCCUGGACCGGUAUUGACGCUGAGGCGCGAAAGCUAGGGGAGCAAACGGG